UCAAAAACAUCUUUUCUUGUUAGUUUUUGAAGUAUGGCCUGCCCACUGACGUUGAUUGAAGGGCCGCGGUAUUUUGACCGUGCAAAGGUAGCGUAAUCAUUAGUUCUUUAAUUGUGAUCUGGUAUGAAUGGCUUGACGAGGCAUGGGCUGUCUUGGAUGUGAAUUUAUUUAUUGAAUUUGGUUUUUGAGUUAAAAUUCUUAGAUGGUUUUAUGGGACGAGAAGACCCUAUAGAGUUUGACAUAUGGGUUAUACUUUUGUUUUUGUUUGUUUUUGGUUAUUUUGUAUUCUUAUUGUUUUGUUGGGGUGAUGGGAGGGAUGUAUUUAA
rnacentral:rRNA from 1 species